GUGAGGCGGCGAGCGGGCACCGGGGAUGGUUUCGCUGGGAGCCGGGCCUGUCAGCCCCGAGCCCGGGCGGGCGAGCGGGCACCCGGCCACCCCGCGGGGACCCCACCUCGGCUGUGCUGGCUGGCGGGGCGCACUCUCAGCUCUCGUCUCGCCCCGGGAGCGCCCCCACCUCCGUCCGCGCGCCGCGGCCCGCGGGCUUCGAGGCCUCGGUUCCGGACUAGGCCCCGACUCCCCGGCAUCCGCACGGCUCGGCUGCCGUUUACCCUCCUAGAGCGAAGGGAGGAGCAGCCUGGCCUUGAGCGGGGCAGCGGGCCGCACGGGCCGGGAGUCGCGGCCCCGCUCCGGACAGGGAUUCUGCCGGCUGGUCGGGGUGGCACCCUCGGAAGGAACAGGUUUUACUUUGUAGUUCAGACUGGCUCCCCAGUUCUUGGUAUUCCACCUACCUCAGCCUUCCAGUACUUGGAUAGCAGAUGUGAGCCACUGUGCUGAGCAGAGUCAGCUGUGUGCCUGUGUAUAUGCUCAUGCUGAAAUUGACUCCAGGGCUUUGAACAUUGCUAGGUAACUAUUCUCUACCACUGGGUUGCAUAUAUUCUCUCUCCUAAAAGAAAAAAAGAAAAGAAAAAAAAUCACUUUUUUUUUUAAUUUUGAGAGAGCCAUAAAGUUACAUACAGUUUGAGAAAUAAAACAUAUUCUUUGUAUACUUUUACAAAUUAGUAUCUUACAAGUCUUAUAGUUGAUUGUAACAUUGUUAGUGUUUACCAAUUUUACUAGUGUUUCCCAAGUUUUACUUGUAGUUGUGUGUUUAGUUCUCUGCAGUGCUAUUACACAGGUAGGUUCUGUCCUUACAGUCAAGAUAUAAGACAGUCUAUGGAAACACAGAGGAGCCCUAUACUGCCCUUUAGAACCACAUCCACCUAUGUUCUUCCCUUUCUCUCUAUUCUCACCUUCCAGCAACCAUGACUAAUGUGGCUCCUAUUUAUGUAAUUUAAAAAGAAUAUCUACUAAAGAGAAUCAUAAAGUAUAGAACUUACAGAUUGACAUUUCUUCCGUGCAGAAGAAUUUCCUUGUGGCUCACCCAAGUUUUCACUUGUAUCAGUAGUCUGUUCUAUUUUAUUGAAAAGUAAUAUUUGCAUUAUAGACUUAGUAGGGUUGGUACACCAUUUAUAGAAUAACGAUUCUUGGUCGUGAUGGGAUAAAAACCUUUAGUUUCAUUGCUAAAAUCACAGUACAAAAAGGAUUUAUUAUUUUCAAGCAUUUUAUUAAUGGAGCAUGGGUGUGUUUGUGAAUGUUGUAGAUGCCUUCCUCCUUCCUGCCAAGGCUCAUAUGUGUAGGCUAGAGAACAGUUUCAGGAAUUGGUUGUCUUUCUACCAAUUCUGUGGGUCUCAGAGAUUAAACUCAGGUCUUUAGAGGGGAAGCACCUUUAUACACUGAGACAAUUUGCUAGCCCACUAAAGGGUUUAUUGUGAUAAGACAUAAACAAGAAGAGUGUGUAAAUCACUAAAUGGAAGAAAAGGAGAUACAAUGUUUUUAUUGUUGACUGACAUUAGGAAUGAAGAAAAUGUUACCAAGCAAAGUAAUAGUUUUGUUUCAAAAUUGCAUCUGUUACAAUUUUUAUUGUGUUAGCUCUCUUGCUUUCUCUUUUACUUUUCUUUUUCUUUUUUUGAGAAGGGGUAGGGGUAGAGAUCAUGUCUCUCACAUAGUUUUGAUUGUCCUGCAACUCACUGUAUAGACCAGAAUGGACUCAAAUUGUUUGCCACCAUUUGAUUUUUAAGCUUUUCCCCACCUUUUCUUUUCUGGUCUGGUAAAGGAAAAGUUGGGCAUUCUCCAGUGCUAAAACUAAGUGUGGGUAGUUAAGUAUCACUUUGCAAAAUUUUGUAAUUUCUACGGUGUAUUUGCCUGACUUAGUUUAGUUUGUUUUGAUACCUACAUUAAUGUUUGCUGCAUAUUUGCCACCUCCUUUCCUGCACAGGAUUGAGUUUUCUGCAUAAGCAUUGUAAUAAAUUGAUAAAAAAUAUCUGCAAAAUUUUUGUCUCUAGUUCAUUUAGGGGAAAGAAGUUAAUUUUUUUUUUUAAAAGCUGGUAAGGUAAGCUGGGCAGUGGUGGUGCAUGCCUUUAAUCCCAGCACUUGGGAGGCAGAGGCAGGUAGAUUUCUGAGUUCGAGGCCAGCCUGGUUUACAGAGUGAGUUCCAGGACAGCCAGGGCUACACAGAUACACCCUGUCUCAAAAAAACAAAACAAAACAAAACAAAAUGAAGGUAAAUGUGAUGUUACAAAUAAAUAUAUAUUGUAUUGUGUAAGAUUUGCUUGAUUGCUUGCUAGUCUUUCCUUUUAAAUUUUCACAUGGUUUUAAUAUAUUUACAAGAUUAUGUAAUUAGGAAAUUGUGGUUUCUGCAUACGUACCUUUGUUGCUAUUUGUUCAUCCAGAUAGUUUGAGACUUGCUCAGAGCUUUACUCUCCUCUCCCCGACUCCUCUGCUCAUCUCUGGCUACCCCCACCCCCUUCAGUGUUUUGAGACAUGGUUUCUUUGUGUGACCCUGGCUGUCCUGGUACUCUUUCUGUAGUCCAGUCUGGCUUUGAAUUCAGAGAUCUGCUUGCUUCUGUCUCAGGAGUGCUGGGAUCAAAGGUGUGUGCCACCACCUAGCUUUAGCUCACUUUUUUGGGAUCUAGGGUUUAGGGUAGAAAAGGUGUUCUUGAAAGGUGUGGGCAAAACUCAUACCUAUACCGUUCAGCUCACUUGGAAAGUGGAAUGUCCUUAAUGCCUGCAAUCAGAUAUCAGCAUGCUGGUUGUUACACUGCUGCAUUUUUUUCUUUAACUUUUUAUCUACUAAUGUGCGUUAGGAGAAAAUAAAAUCUAAGUUGGAAUACUUAACUACUAUUAUUAUUUGAAUUUUAGUCUUGUCAGUUGGUUGAGCUUAGGACAAAAUAUUUCUUUUUUUUUUUAAAGAUUUAUUUUAUGUAUAUAAGUACACUGUAGCUGUCUUCAGACACACCAGAAGAGGGCAUCAGAUUCCAUUACAGAUGGUUGUGAGCCACCAUGUGGUUGCUGGGAUUUGAACUCAGGACCUUCGGAAGAGCAGUCCGUGCUCUUAACCGCUGAGCCAUCUCUCCAGCCCCAGGACAAAAUAUUUCUGUGUGAAGAAUUCAUAUCCUGGAGUCAUAGACAGCUGUGAGAGCCACCAUGUAGGUACUGGGAAUAGAACCUGACUUUCCUGGAAGAGAAACCAGUGCUCUUAACCACACUGAGCCAUCUCUCUGGCCCCAAAAGGAAGACGUUUAGUUUAAAUUUUUAUUUAUUUUGUGUAUGUGUGUGCACAUGCACGUGCACAUGCAUAAUACUGCAGUGGGAUAUGUGGUGAUCAGAGCCAGUUUGUGGCAGUUGGUUCUCUACUUUUACCACGUGGGUACUGGGGAUCAAACUCAGUUCAACAGGCUGGGCACCAGGCAUCUGUACCUACUGAGCUAUCCUGCUGGUGCCAUGCAGAUAUUGUUAUUAAGUAAACAGACUGAAGUUAAAGUAAGGUUUGCAGCUAGAGCUAGGAAUGAGGAACUAGACUUUACAUCAUUCAGGGAAGAAAGAUGAAAUAAACCCUUUUCUCCUCAGGUUGCUUCUGGUCAUGGUGUUUUAUCACAGCAAUAGAAACCCUUUCUAAGACAGCUCUCAAGUUCCUGUUGCCUACAGUUCCUUCUCUACAGUUAGCACUGUAACCUGGAAGUGUGAGCUAAAAUAAACCCUUUUCUCUCCCAAGUUGCAUCUGUCAUAUUUUAUUACAGCAAUAGGAAAUGAAAUUAGACAGGACACUAGUGAGUUAUAUGGGCUUAUUUAUUUUUACAUGAAGAAUUAAGUCUCUACUGAAUAUUUGCUACUGCAGAAUAUUGAAUACCUUUAGUGUUGUUUUUCAGAGUUGUCCUAAUCUUCAAGUCAAAAGUCAUCAAAUGAUUUUUUAAAUCGUAAAACUCAAGCCAGCAACUCAAUAGUUGUAACUAGUGAACCUUAGAUGGAGUGCACCAGGCAGUGUUAGUUGGUAUUAUGCAGCUUGAUGGUACAUGCAGCACAAUGGGUACACGCUGUGUGUUUGGAGCCAAGGCUGUUGCAGUGAGCUGUAGAACAUGAUGUAGAUGAACUUUGCCAGAAGUACCUUGGCUUACAUGUUUGAUUAUGAAUUAGUUUUUGCUUCUUGCACAUUCAGGACAUUUUUUUACUUUAUUUUUAUUUUAUGCGUGUUAAUGUUUUGCUGGCAUGCAUGUACAUGCAUCAAGUCUGGGCUUGGGUGAUUCCCUGGGACUGGGAUUAUUGAUGGUUGUGAGCUACCAUGUGGGUUCUGAGAAUUGAACUCAGGCAGGUCUUCUGUAAGAGCCACAAGUAAGUGCUCUUAACUGCUGGGCCAUCUAUCUCCAUCCCUAAGACAUUUUCAAUUGUUUUCCAACUCUCAAGGGUCAGUUAUAGCUAAAGACACUUAUGUCAGUGUCUUAAAGGGUUGGGACGGGUUUAAGAUGGUGUGGUUUAGGCCAGUGGUUUAGUAGGUAAAGGUGCCAAAUUUGAUGAUCAGCGUUUGAUUCCCAGAACACACAUGGUGAAAGGAGAGAAUAGAUAGAUUCUAAUAACUUGUCCUCUGACUUUAACAUGUGUGCUAUAGUAGUGUGCAAACACACACAAAAUAAAUAUAUUUAAAAUGUAAAAAAAAAAAA